AACGUGCAUUAGUGCAGAUCUUGGUGGUAGUAGCAACUAUUCAAAUGAGAACUUUGAAGACUGAAGCGGAGAAAGGUUCCAUGUGAACAGCAAUUGGACAUGGGUUAGUCGGUCCUAAGAGAUAGCUUAAGUGCGUUCUGAAGUGGGAGUUUUUUUUUGUUAAAAAGUUCCCCGCAUAUCGAAAGGGAAUCAGGUUAAUAUUCCUGAACGAGGAAAGUGGAUGCGUCAUGUGGCAACACAAGGUGUGCUUGGAGACGGCAGCGGUAACCCCGGGAAGAGCUCUCUUUUCUUUUUAACUCUUUCGUCGUUUUACCCUGGAAUUGACUUAGUCAGCGAUAGGGAAAUCAUGCAAGCAAGAGCUAUGCUACUCUAGUAUAGUCCGGUGCGUUUUCGACGUCCCUUGAAAAUCCAAGUGCACGAUAAGUAUAAACACUCCUCGCCGUACUCAUAACCGCAACAGGUCUCCAAGGUGAAAAGCCUCUAGUUGAUAGAACAAUGUAGAUAAGGGAAGUCGGCAAAAUAGAUUCGUAUCUUUGGUAAAAGAAUUGGCUCUGAGGAUUGGGCUUAGGAGUCCUAGUUGUAAGAUUGGGAAGCCU
rnacentral:rRNA from 1 species